rnacentral:rRNA from 1 species
AGACCAAUAUUUCGGUCAUGCCGUUGGUAUGCACUGUUAUCAUUGAUUUCUCACCUUCUAAAGAACCGUAAUGCCAUUAAUUUGGUGUUACGGGGAAUUAGGACUGUUACCUUGAAAAAAUUAGAGUGUUUAAAGCAGGCUCACGCUUGAAUACAUUAGCAUGGAAUAACGAAAUAGGACGUUUGAUUCUAUUUUGUUGGUUUCUAGGAUCGACGUA